UACGGGGGGGAGCAAGCGUUGUUCGGAUUUACUGGGCGUAAAGGGCGCGUAGGCGGCCACCGCAAGUCGACUGUGAAAUCUCCGGGCUUAACCCGGAAAGGUCAGCCGAUACUGCGGGGCUAGAGUGCAGAAGGGGCAACUGGAAUUCUCGGUGUAGCGGUGAAAUGCGUAGAUAUCGAGAGGAACACCUGCGGCGAAGGCGGGUUGCUGGGCUGACACUGACGCUGAGGCGCGAAAGCUAGGGGAGCGAACGGGG
rnacentral:rRNA from 1 species